rnacentral:lncRNA from 1 species
GUUUUUGCAGUGAUUUUGCUAGCAUUCGUCAUUUUCGUAAUUUACGAAACAGUUUUCAAAAUGGCAAAAGAAUUUCAAAUCAAUUUCGUCACUUAAUUCUGAAAGUAUAAAGAUAUUUUCCCAUGAAAAUACUGUGAAUCUACCUGUCUCUGUGUUUUUGACAAGUUUUUGACCCCAGGUAAUUAACAUUUGCAACAGGUGUGAAUGAUUACAACUAAUCUGAUUAUCACCAUCGGAUGGGUCACUAAUCCGUUAAUUAUUAAUAAACCUCAUAAUUGACCAUCAUAAUUAUUUUCCCUAUAAAAAUCAGUCAGCAUUUCAACAACUAGGAGUAUAGUUUUAACAUUGAAUCAAAUACUGAUAACUACCAAAUAUGCCUAAGACUUGGUCCUUUAGAGUCGGACAAAGAUGUUGUUAGAAAUAUACAUCCUUGGUCCCUUGCUGUUACACAUUGACAAACUACGGUUAACUUAAAGUAAAUGUAGAGACAACUAAAGGUUUAAUUUUUUCAAAAAGCAGGAUGUAAAAAAACACAAAAUUUUAUUUGAAUAAUAAUGAGCUUGAAAUAGUUAAAGAUUAUAAAAAUCUUGGUAUAUUCUUUUGUAAAAGUGGAUCAUUCUUGUCUACAAGAAAGUAUCUAAAGGAACAGGCAACUAAAGCCAUGUUUGGAUUAUUGAAGACAUGUAGAACAAAUAACUUAUCUAUUGAAUGUCAAAUUGAUUUGUUUAAAAAAUUAGUAGAACCUGUAAUACACUACUUUUGAGACAAAUUAUAGAAAACUUCAUCGGCUC